rnacentral:rRNA from 1 species
UACGUAGGGGGCAAGCGUUAUCCGGAUUUAUUGGGCGUAAAGGGAACGCAGGCGGUCUUUUAAGUCUGAUGUGAAAGCCUUCGGCUUAACCGGAGUAGUGCAUUGGAAACUGGGAGACUCGAGUGCAGAAGAGGAGAGUGGAACUCCAUGUGUAGCGGUGAAAUGCGUAGAUAUAUGGAAGAACACCAGUGGCGAAAGCGGCUCUCUGGUCUGUAACUGACGCUGAGGUUCGAAAGCGUGGGUAGCAAACAGG